rnacentral:rRNA from 1 species
AUUGAACGCUGGCGGCAGGCCUAACACAUGCAAGUCGAGCUAGCGUCGUACGGGUGAGUAAUGUCUGGGAAACUGCCUGAUGGCGGGGGAUAACUACUUGAACCGGUAGCUAAUACCGCAUACCAUCCGAUUUGCCCUGAUGGGAUUCGCGAGUAGUUGGGGUAACGGCUCACCUAGGCGACGAUCCCUAGCUGGUCUGAGAGGAUGACCAGCCACACUGAAACUGAGACACGGUCCAGACUCCUACGGGAGUCAGCAGUGGGGAAUAUGGCACAAUGGGCGCAAGCCUGAUGCAGCCAUGCCGCGUGUGGGAAGAAGGCCUGCGGGUUGUAAAGCACUUUCAGCGGGGAGGCGUUACCCGCAGAAGAAGAACCGGCUAACUCCGUGCCAGCAGCCGCGGUAAUUC